rnacentral:lncRNA from 1 species
UCCUCCCCUCCGUGCCGCUGCCUCGGAUUCCCCCCUCCCUCUCGGCCGCAAGCGCCGGCGCCGACAUGGUAUGGAAGCGGCUGCCACGUAUUCUCACCCCACGUUCCCGAUCUGGAGAGGGAGGGAAAUACACGGCCACAUGUGCGUGCGCCGUCGGGAUGUUUCUUGAGGGUAGCAUCAACCCUUGUAGGCACUGCUAGCAGCAGCAGCAGGCCUCAGUGCCGACGAAGGGAUGGCACAUGGCGCCGUCGUCGUCGAUCUAGGUAGAAGGGCAAGCCAAGAUGAACCUCUCGCAUUAUCUAGGAAGUUGUCAUGGAAGACGCCGAAGAAAAGUCCAUGUAAGCUCCUCUGGUUUUCUUCCAUAAUUUUUCUUCCCUGCACAACAGUUAAUUUCCGUCUCUUCUGGACCACGUCUAAUUUUGGGAAAAAGAUGCAGGAAUUUUGAUAGAGAUGGAGAACUGGACGUGCUUUGUUUCCUUGCCUUGACCGCAUCUAAUUUUGGGGAAAAGAGAGAGGAAUUUGAGAUAGGUGGACAACCUGAAGAUCUUUGAACGUUCAGGAGCAGCCAUAUCCUCAGUGCUAUGCCAGCCUCCUCGCCACUACUGUCAUGUGGAUGUGACUAUUGUUUGGCUGCUGGUGAGAUGGGCAUAGUUUCCUCCGGGUUCAUGCAUCGUGAUGGUAUUCGAACAACACCUUAAUUGGCCCAAGAAAAUUUAGGACUGUCGGAUGAUAAACCAAAUUUUUUGUUUCAUGUACUAUCAUCUCACGUUCUAAUUUUGGUGUUCUGGUAGGAAGGGAUCGGCUUUGGCGGUGUCCGGUGCUGGCAUGUCAUGUGAUUAGAGCAUAGGAAGCUAACAUGAUGUUUGGAACUCGGUGGUCAUGCUCAUUGACUAGAUGCUGCGCCUCAUGUCACCCCGGGCGUCGAAUUGCUUGAUAGCAGAGCUCACGGAGUAAAAAUAUGUCUGCAAGUACUUGUUUGCCAUAUGCCUGCCCACUCCUCCGUCUCAUCAAGCUUUCUUUUAUUUCUCUAAAUUUGUUGUGUGCAUGUAUGUGAAAAAAUAACAGGAAUAGGCCAUGCUAAGGCUUUGGCAAAGAACAUUCUUUCCCUUGCUUAUGAAAAUUUUGGUCCUUUAAUAUUGAUUCCAUAAUUUGUGAUUAAUAAAU